GGGUGCUUGUGAGCGGGCUUCAGUGACGCGCUCGGAUGCGGCUCACUUGUUGUAUCUGUGCACCCACCACGGCAGGCCUUCAGUUGUGCUCUCUGUGUCUCUCCCUCUCUCACAGACUUCGCCCUGCCCAUCGCACACGCUUCGGGGCAAAGAACUGGAACUCAUUUCUCUCACCGCCCUCUUAUAUGGAUCGAAAAAGAAAAACAAAGGUAGACAACAUUGGACGCAAACGUAGAUGAAAGCGUGCCGGUGCAUCACAAUUCUCACCGGCGCCGGCAUCUCUGCUGAAUCGGGAAUUUCCACCUUUCGCGAUAGCGACGGGCUCUGGUGCAACCAUAAUGUCGAGGAUGUAGCGUCUCCGGACGCCUUCAUCAGAAACCCGGCUCUCGUGCAGCUCUUCUACAACGAGCGUCGCCGCAAUCUUUUGCUAAGCUCUGUCAAGCCGAACAAGGCGCACAUAGCACUGGCCAAGUUAGAAGAGGAGCUGAGUGGAAAGGGGAAGGUUGUCAUUGUCACUCAGAAUGUGGACAACCUGCACGAGCGCGCCGGCUCGAAAAACGUUCUGCACAUGCACGGCGAGCUUCUGAAGGUCCGCUGCGCAGCCACCGGGAAUGUCUUCGAAUGGCAGAAGGACAUUGUGGGAGAUGUUGACCGCUGCCCCGACUGCGGCCUGCUUGGCACCUUGCGCCCGCACAUUGUUUGGUUUGGUGAGAUGCCGCUUUGCAUGGACGAGAUCGAGUCGAUACUGUCGAAGACGGAUCUCUUUGUUGCCAUCGGCACCUCCGGAAACGUGUACCCCGCCGCCGGGUUCGUGAAGCGGGCGCAGUUUUACGGUGCGACGACGCUUGAGCUGAAUCUUCAGGAGGGCUCCAACAGCACGCUCUUUCAGGAGUCCAUCUACGGCAAAGCCAGCGACAUUGUGCCCGCCUGGGUGGACCGAGUGCUGAAAGAGAGCUCGAAAAAGUGAUGGGACCGAACUGAUUCGGGUGGGUAUAGUAUGCGUGCGCGAUGUGGCUACUCCUCUGGCACGUUAGCUCUUGCUGUCCUCUGACGGACUGUGGGGGAAACAAGAACGCACACACACACACAAAAAGGGAAAAUGCUGCCUCCCUCAAACGAGCAAGCCUCCACGACUGACAUCCGAGGGCUCUUCCUGCCCUCCUGUGACAUCUUUUGACCUACCCGCCUCAGCGGUGCCGCAUAACGGCAGCUUCUCUUUUUUUUGCCUUUUGCUUCUUCUGUGGGGUGGUUUGGGGGACUGCCGCAUGGCCAACAUCUGCCAAGACCAAGGCAAGACAAGGCGGUGCGCUAUUCAGGUUACAUGAAGUUAAAGGGCGUUGAAGGGCGGCGUGACCUCUCUCUUCUCCGUCUUUCUCUUUCGAGUGAUUUGUGGCAUGCCCUCCUUCUCUGCUUUGUCGGUUUUUGCGUCUCUUG
rnacentral:misc_RNA from 1 species